UAAGGAUACUAAAAAUAUACAUGCCUAACUCUGGCAUUCCUUACUUGUGUUACUUUUUCCAAAACUUUUAUUUUGGAGAAAAAAUAAAUAUUUCACUACAUGAAAGACUGUCAAUUUUUAAAUGUGAAAAAAGGGUAAAUUUUUCAUAUUCAAUGAAAUUUUUGACUUGGAGAAAAUUCUUUUUACAGAUAGACACUUGGUUUUUCAUCAAAAUUAAACAUUUUUUUUUUAUGGCUUAUAGAAUACAAAAAAGUAUUUAUACAACUCCAUAUUCUUUCAAUACAUAAAAGUGGUAGAAAAAUGACUCAAAUUUUGUAGAAACAAUAAUUGAUAGUGCUUAAGUAUUUUAUAAAUUGAUGCUCUAGUUUGUUAAGUUUCAGAAUAUUUACAUUUUGUGUUACUAAUGUCUUCCCUUCCAUCUUCUUACAUAGUCUUCAACAGGGUAGAUUCCUUAAGUAAGGUUAACGUUAACAAUAAUUUGUGUUUAUGUUCAGGUAUGAAAUUAGUGCUCUUUUUAACAAAUAUAUACAAGGGUGAGACAACAAACAUAGAUUUAACAUUUAAGCUAAAAUAGAUAUUUCGAUUUUAAUGCCAAAAAAAAUCACAUUUUUGCACCAAAGGGAGAUAAUUUAGAGCUUUUUCAAUGAUAUAUACAUUUUAAAAUUCAUCUAGGGCCAAAACGAAUUGAUUUUUUCUGAUAUUUAUUGUACCACAUGAUAAAUUAACAACUAAUAAAGUAAUGAAUAAAAUUUAUAAUGAAAAAAACAAAUUGUAAAUUUUUUUGGAAAUUUUUGUACCCUCGAGCCUCCAAUGUUUAAGGAGAUGAAAUAAAAUCAAACAAUAUCAUUAGGAAGGCAUACCUAUUCAGCUCUUUUUGAGGGUUAUUUACAACGUGCCAGUUGAUAAUAAUUUCCCUCCUUACAUGAAAACAACAAUAGACUCAUACCUAAAAGUUUUAGUUGAGUUAUUUAAUACUCUGGUGAUUUUAUUAGAAUUAUGUCUUUUACAUAUUUUAUUACUGUUGUACAAAUACAGAUUUAAAUUUUUUUUGGAUCACAUAUUUUAAACUUUGCUGUAUAAGGGGAGAUCACUCAGAUUGUGUAACUUUUAUAAAUUAGGAAUUUAGGGCUGAAAAGGGGCCAAAAACACGCAUUUUUCUAGUUUCAAGACUAUAACUUGUGUGUAACUGUAUGGAUCUCUCUGACAUUGUACCACAAGUUUCCACAUAACAUAGGGGAGGCUGGGAUUCAGUUUGGGGUUAAUUUUCCCGAAUAUGUAGGGAUAAGGGGCCAAAAAGAAGCAUUUUUAUAGUUUACAGUCAAUAACUUGUGUUAAAGUGCAUGAAUCUAUAUAAAUUUUUACAAGAAGGUUCAAUACCACUAAAGGAAGGUUGGGAUUGAUUUUGGGGGUUAUUGUCUCAAUAGUUUAGAGGAAUUAGGGGCCAAAAAGGGGCCCAAAAUAAUCAUUUUUGUAGUUUUCAAACAAUAACUUAUGUUAAAGUGUAUGAAUCUCUCUGAAAUUAAACCACAAGUUUCCAUACUAUGAAGGGAUGGUUAGUAUUGACUUUGGCUCAAAAUGUUUCAGAAUUAGGGGCAAGAAAGGGGAAAAACUAGGUAUGUCUGGUCAAUGGACAAUUUAAAAGCAGGGUAAAGGAGGUAAUUCUAAAACAUUUAACAUACAAUGUUGGGUAUGUUCGGUUUUACCUCCCUUACACUACUUGUAUAUUAUGUAUAAAGAUAUGUCAGGUUUUGGACUAAUUGCAAAAAAAGGGGGGUGGUAAUUGUUUUCAAUUUUUUUUUUCAAAUUUCUCAAAUUUUAAAUUUUUGAAAAGUUAAAAGAAGAAAUCUUAAAUUGCACAAUAUUGUGCAAUAGAUUUGUAAGAUCUUGACAUUUGUUUUGUGUCAGAAACUCAUGAUGUCAAAAAUUUGAUCGCAAUCCAAGCUGUAUCAAGCUUGAAUGUUGUGUCCAUACUUGCCCCAACUGUUCAGGGUUCAACUUCUGUGGUCGUAUAAAGCUGUGCCCUGCAGAGCACCUGGUUUGUUCUGUAGCAAGAAAAUGAAUCCUGUAGCCCCUAUUUUUAUUUUAUUUUUGAAAACACAUUAUCUUCUCAUAUUCUAUCCUAUAAUUCUGUCAUUAGGUUUUCUUUCUAUCUCACAAAAUAAGGUUCUCAUAUGUAUUAUCUGUAAAAAUCUGACAAUUUUGCACAACUGGUAGCUUGCGGGAAAGCCCUGUAACCCAUUCUUUUUUUUAUUAUAUUUGUUUUUAAAAGCAUGAUAUAAACUACUUUUUGGCAAAUUAUAAAAAUUCUAUUGAUUUUAAAUUUAGACCCCAUCUACCUUAAAGGAGAUUUCAAUGUUGAAGAAGAUGGCAUUAUUUUAAUAAUUCUUAAAAUAAUGGAUAUAAUUGCAAAGUUCUAAUACAUAUAUUUAUUCGAAAGACAUAGAGGAUGGAGUUAAUAUUAUAGAAAUGUUGAUCAUAAAGAUGAGCACUGUGUUAUAUUAUUAUUAAAUUUUUUUUUUGGUUCCCAUUUACUUUUCUUCCGUGUGAAGAUAUUUUUUAAGGAUAACAUUGUUUUACUAUGAUAUAAUACCUACAUAUAUUGUGAUAGUAGAGAAACUACUUAGUUUUCAUUUCUAUUAUCUCAAAAGUUGAGAUAAUUAUUUUAUAAAAUAUUAUUUUGAAACAGAAAUUUUAGUGAAAAAUUAUUGCAAAAAAGGCCCUUGUAAUAGCUUCUGUUUUCCUUCCACUUCUAUAAUAUUCAUUAAAUGAAAAUUUUGAUAUGUUAGAAAAUACAAAUUGUUACAUAUUUUAUUGUUACUCAUCAUGUAAAUAUAAUUCAAAUUAUGCACCAUAUUAAGAUAUAUAUCUAUAUACUUUAUGUUAUUUUGUGUAAAUAACUAAACCGGUAUCUAAAGCUUUGUGUAACACCACAAUUGGUCAAAGGAUAUUUGAUUACAAGUUUAAAAAUUAUUGAAAUCUCUGGUUCUCUGGAAAAACAUUUUCUAAAUCUAAUAUUUAUCAAAUCACAUGAUGUUUUAAGAUGUGUAUCAUAUCACAGAAGGUAAACCAUCUUUAUGAAGUAAGGUAUGACACAUUUCUUGCAACAUGUCAAAGUGAUUCAUUGGUAACAGGUCUCAUUAAUAGAAAAUAAAAAUCUCCACUAAAACCCAGUUUGAAAAGUAAGUGUGGUUAAUUGUUUAUCAUUUACCAGAAUUUGAAGUUUUACAUCAAUGAAAUGAUAUGAUUUCUGAUUUGGUAUGCUGUUUUAUUAAAAUUUAUUUAACAUGCAGUAUUACAAGUCCUCUUAUGCUUACUAUUCGAAAGUUUUCUGACUACAAAAGUAGAUGGGCUUGUAAAGAAUAAAAUAUUGUAGACAAUUGAUAUUUGCAACAUUACUGUAUACGCAUCUAAAUAUCACAUUUUAUAGAAAUUUGAAGGCAUAACCCUUAAAUCUUCACCAUGAUUGGGAGAAUGAUUUACAUUGUUUCUGGAUUGAUUACUAAGUGAUAUUCAUUCCCAAAUUCACAUGUAUGACCAACGAUCAAAUAUUUUUUUUGAAUUUUUCUGCAAAUAGGCGAGUCAUACUUUUUUUUUAUUUUAUUUCCUAUAAAAGAAGGAUAUAAAGGUAGAUGAGGGAAAAAAACUCUGUUGUUUUUGCAAUUCAUGGUACUGGGUUACAUUAAAACUAUAUUAAUCAAAUAGCCUUUGACCAAUAGCUGUCAUUAAUUGUUAUGUUUGUUAUAAAAACUGCAGUACUUAAGAAGUACAGUGUACAUAUUUAAUAUAUGCAGUGCUAAUUUAUUGUUAGACUAUUAAUUGGUGAAGAUGUGAAAAUCACUCAUAAAGACACUCAUGCUGUACUUGUAUUUUAUUGUUUUAAUGCCAUUUGAAGUAGGAACGAUAGUACAGGCUUCAAACAAAAAAAACCAGCAGAUUUAGUUCAAAAUGAAUAUCAUACACAGCAAAAGUGAAUUCUAAUUAAAGGC
rnacentral:lncRNA from 1 species